UCGAGCGAAUCGAUGGGAGCUUGCUCCCUGAAUUAGCGGCGGACGGGUGAGUAACACGUGGGCAACCUGCCUAUAAGACUGGGAUAACUUCGGGAAACCGGAGCUAAUACCGGAUACGUUCUUUUCUCGCAUGAAAAAAGAUGGAAAGACGGUUUCGGCUGUCACUUAUAGAUGGGCCCGCGGCGCAUUAGCUAGUUGGUGAGGUAAUGGCUCACCAAGGCGACGAUGCGUAACCGACCUGAGAGGGUGAUCGGCCACACUGGGACUGAGACACGGCCCACACUCCUACGGGAGGCAGCAGUAGGGAAUCUUCCGCAAUGGACGAAAGUCUGACGGAGCAACGCCGCGUGAACGAAGAAGGCCUUCGGGUCGUAAAGUUCUGUUGUUAGGGAAGAACAAGUACCAGAGUAACUGCUGGUACCUUGACGGUACCUAACCAGAAAGCCACGGCUAACUACGUGCCAGCAGCCGCGGUAAUACGUAGGUGGCAAGCGUUGUCCGGAAUUAUUGGGCGUAAAGCGCGCGCAGGUGGUUCUUUAAGUCUGAUGUGAAAGCCCACGGCUCAACCGUGGAGGGUCAUUGGAGACUGGGGAACUUGAGUGCAAAAGAGGAAAGUGGAAUUCCAAGUGUAGCGGUGAAAUGCGUAUAGAUUUGGAGGAACACCAGUGGCGAAGGCGACUUUCUGGUCUGUAACUGACACUGAGGCGCGAAAGCGUGGGGAGCAAACAGGAUUAGAUACCCUGGUAGUCCACGCCGUAAACGAUGAGUGCUAUUGUUAGAGGGUUUCCCGCCCUUUAGUG
rnacentral:rRNA from 1 species